rnacentral:misc_RNA from 1 species
GAUGAAGAACGUAGCGAAAUGCGAUAAGUAGUGUGAAUUGCAGAAUUCAGUGAAUCAUCGAAUCUUUGAACGCACAGUGCGCCCCUUGGUAUUCCAUGGGGCAUGCCUGUUCGAGCGUCAUUUGUACCUUCAAGCUCUGCUUGGUGUUGGGUGUUUGUCUCGCCUCUGCGUGUAGACUCUCCUCGAAACAAUUGGCAGCCGGCGUAUUGAUUUCGGAGCGCAGUACAUCUCGCGCUUUGCACUCAUAACGACGACGUCCAAAAGUACAUUUUUACACUCUUGACCUCGGAUCAGGUAGGGAUACCCGCUGAACUUAAGCAUAUCAAUAAGCGGAGGA